rnacentral:lncRNA from 1 species
AGCUAAAGUUGAGAAGGUAGAUGAAUCUAUAACUAGCAAAGGAAAGGGAAAAAUCUACAAGUGACGAAGACUUGUAAUUUUGAUUAUCGUUAUGAUGUUAGACUUUUAAUUUGAUGAUAGACAUAUAUUUAAUGAUGUGUUGUAAUAAUUUAAUUUUCGCACUUAAAUGAUGUUAAGGUUAGACAACCUGGGAUGUUUUUGGAUUAAAUGAUGUAACCCUAUUUAAAGGGAGGAAUUAUGAUUUUAUUUUAUUAUUUUUGGGUAGAUAAAUAUGAAUGUUGAAAAGU